rnacentral:rRNA from 1 species
UACAGAAAGAGCAAGCGUUAAUGAUCUUAACUGAGUGUAAAGCGUACGUAGGCUGAUGUUAAUGGUAAGACUAGAUUGAUAAUUACUGCGAAUUAAGGUAGGCAUUUCUAGUACCGUUCAUCUCGAGAUAAAUAUAGAUUAUUAGUACACGUUAGGAAUGAUUUAGUAAAUCCUAGAUCUAACGGAGACUACUCAGAGCGAAGGCAUAUAAUCAAUUUUAUUCUGACGCUAAGGUACGAAAGCUUGGGUAGCAAAGCGG